UACGUAGGGGGCAAGCGUUGUCCGGAUUUAUUGGGCGUAAAGAGCGUGUAGGCGGCUUUACAGGUCCGUUGUGAAAACUCGAGGCUCAACCUCGAGACGCCGGUGGAAACCGUAAGGCUAGAGUCCGGAAGAGGAGAGUGGAAUUCCUGGUGUAGCGGUGAAAUGCGCAGAUAUCAGGAGGAACACCCGUGGCGAAAGCGGCUCUCUGGGACGGUACUGACGCUGGGACGCGAAAGCGUGGGGAGCAAACAGG
rnacentral:rRNA from 1 species